AGAGUUUGAUCCUGGCUCAGAAUCAACGCUGGCGGCGUGCCUAACACAUGCAAGUCGAACGAGAAAGUGGAGCAAUCCAUGAGUAAAGUGGCGCACGGGUGAGUAACACGUGACUAACCUACCCUUGAGUGGGGGAUAACCUAGGGAAACCUGGGCUAAUACCGCAUAAUACCUUCGGGUCAAAGGAGCAAUUCGCUUAAGGAGGGGGUCGCGGCCGAUUAGUUAGUUGGCGGGGUAAUGGCCCACCAAGACUGUGAUCGGUAUCCGGCCUGAGAGGGCGCACGGACACACUGGAACUGAAACACGGUCCAGACUCCUACGGGAGGCAGCAGUGGGGAAUUUUGCGCAAUGGGGGAAACCCUGACGCAGCAACGCCGCGUGGAGGAUGAAGCCCCUUGGGGCGUAAACUCCUUUCGAUCGG
rnacentral:rRNA from 1 species